rnacentral:rRNA from 1 species
AAUUUAAAUAAUUAAUAAUUUUAUUUUUAUUAUUUAUUUUUAUAAAAAUAAUUUAAAAUUUUUAUGUUUUAGUAUUAAGUUAAAAUAAAUGUUUAAUUUUAUAGUUGAUUAGUAUUGUAAAAGAAAUUAUUUAAAUUUUUAAAAGAAUUUUAUGAGUACCUUUUGUAUCAGGGUUAAUUAAAAUUAUUAAUUUAUUUUAAUUUCUCAAAAUUUAUAGAGUUAAUUUUAUUCUUAAUUUAUUGUAUUAAAAAUAUUUAAAAAAUAAUUUUUGUUUUGAAAUUUAAUUCGUUAUAUUAUAUUUAGUUAUUUAAGAUUUAAAUUUAAUUUAAAAUUUUAAAAGUUAUAUUAAUUUUUUAUAUUAAUAUUUUAAAUUUAAAUUAUUUUAAGGAUAAGCUUGAAAUUUUUAUAUAUUAAUAUUUUAAUAAUAAAUAUUAAAUAGGAAUAGAAAUUUUUAUUUAAAAAGUUUGUAAAAAUUUAUUAUUUAAAUUUAUUUUAUUUAUUAUAAAUUAAUUAUUUUUAUUAUUAAAUUAUAUAAAUAAAUUAAUGAUUUAUAGAAAUAAUGAUUAAAUUAGUAUAAUUUAUAUUUAUAAUUUAUGAAUUCGGCAAAAAUUAUUUUCAUCUGUUUAACAAAAACAUUGUAUUAAGUUUUAUUUAAUAUAGAAUCUGCUCAAUGAUUAAAUUAAAUAGCUGCAGUAUUUUGACUGUGCAAAGGUAGCAUAAUAAUUAGUCUUUUAAUUGAAGACUAGAAUGAAAGAUUUGAUGAAAAAUAAACUUUAUUAAUUAUAAAAUUAAAAUUUUAUUAUUAAGUUAAAAAGCUUAAAUUAUUUAAAGGGACGAUAAGACCCUAUAAAACUUUAUAAUUAAUAAUUUUUAUUUUAAUUUAAAAUAAUUUAAGUAAAUAUUUAAAAAUUAAUUAAUUAUUUUGUUGGGGUGAUAAAAAAAAAUAAUAAACUUUUUUUAAAUAGAAACAUUAAUUAAUGAAAAUUUGAAUUAAAAUUUUUAAUUAAAGGAAAAAGUUACUUUAGGGAUAACAGCGUAAUUAAUUUUUUAAGUUCAAAUUUUAAAAUUAGUUUGCGACCUCGAUGUUGAAUUAAGAUAAAUCUUAGGUGCAAAAUUUUAAGUUUUAGGUCUGUUCGACCUUUAAAGUCUUACAUGAUUUGAGUUCAAACCGGUGUAAGCCAGGUUGGUUUCUAUCUUUUAAUAUAAAUAAUUUAUUUUAGUACGAAAGGAUUAAGUAAAUAAAUUAAAAUUUUAUAAUUAUUGAAUAAAAUUAAUUUA